UACACUCCUACGGGAGGCAGCAGUGGGGAAUAUCGCACAAUGGGCGCAAGCCUGAUGCAGCCAUGCCGCGUGUAUGAAGAAGGCCUUCGGGUUGUAAAGUACUUUCAGCGGGGAGGAAGGCGAUAAGGUUAAUAACCUUGUCGAUUGACGUUACCCGCAGAAGAAGCACCGGCUAACUCCGUGCCAGCAGCCGCGGUAAUACGGAGGGUGCAAGCGUUAAUCGGAAUUACUGGGCGUAAAGCGCACGCAGGCGGUCUGUCAAGUCGGAUGUGAAAUCCCCGGGCUCAACCUGGGAACUGCAUUCGAAACUGGCAGGCUAGAGUCUUGUAGAGGGGGGUAGAAUUCCAGGUGUAGCGGUGAAAUGCGUAGAGAUCUGGAGGAAUACCGGUGGCGAAGGCGGCCCCCUGGACAAAGACUGACGCUCAGGUGCGAAAGCGUGGGGAGCAAACAGGAUUAGAAACCCCUGUAGUCCCAUG
rnacentral:rRNA from 1 species